rnacentral:lncRNA from 1 species
CUUUUAAAGCUUAUCUAAUGGAUGGAUUUGAUACACAGGAUGAGCUAUUUGAGAAAUGAGGAGAAUCAGUAGAAGAUCGAAAGACGAUCCCAUUGAAUGAAGGCAAUUAGGAGCACACCAUCCAAAUCGGGUCAAAACUCGAUCAGGUAACCAAACAACACCUCAUAUCCUUUUUAUGAAAAAAUACGAACGUAUUUGCCUAGACUCUAGUGGAUAUGCCCGACAUCGAUCUGAAUGUGAUGAUGCAUCAGUUGGGUGUCAACCCAAACUACAAGCC